rnacentral:rRNA from 1 species
GAUGAACGCUGGCGGCGUGCCUAAUACAUGCAAGUCGAGCGAACAGACGAGGAGCUUGCUCCUCUGACGUUAGCGGCGGACGGGUGAGUAACACGUGGAUAACCUACCUAUAAGACUGGUAUAACUUCGGGAAACCGGAGCUAAUACCGGAUAAUAUAUUGAACCGCAUGGUUCAAUAGUGAAAGACGGUUUUGCUGUCACUUAUAGAUGGAUCCGCGCCGCAUUAGCUAGUUGGUAAGUUAACGGCUUACCAAGGCAACGAUGCGUAGCCGACCUGAGAGGGUGAUAGGCCACAGUGGAAGUGAGACAGGGUCCAGACUCCUACGGGAGGCCGCAGUAGGGAAUGUUCCGCAAUGGGCGAAAGCUUGGCGGAACAACGCCGCGUGAGUUAUGAAGGUCUUCGGAUCGUAAAACUCUGUUAUUAGGGAAGAACAAAUGUGUAAGUAACUAUGCACGUCUUGACGGUACCUAAUAAGAAAGCCACGGCUAACUACGUG